rnacentral:rRNA from 1 species
UACGGGGGGGGCAAGCGUUGUUCGGAAUUACUGGGCGUAAAGGGCUCGUAGGCGGCCAACUAAGUCGGAUGUGAAAUCCCCAGGCUUAACCUGGGAACUGCAUCCGAUACUGGAUGGCUUGAAUCCGGGAGAGGGAUGCGGAAUUCCAGGUGUAGCGGUGAAAUGCGUAGAGAUGUGGAGGAACACCAAUGGCGAAGGCAGCCUUCUGGGCCAACACUGACGCUCAUGCACGAAAGCGUGGGGAGCAAACAGG